rnacentral:rRNA from 1 species
CACGUAGGGCGCAAGCGUUGUCCGGAAUUAUUGGGCGUAAAGAGCUCGUAGGCGGUCUGUUGCGUCCGCUGUGAAAACCCGGGGCUUAACCCUGGGCUGGCAGUGGAUACGGACAGACUAGAGGUAGGUAGGGGAGAAUGGAAUUCCCGGUGUAGCGGUGAAAUGCGCAGAUAUCGGGAGGAACACCAGUGGCGAAGGCGGCGCCCUGGACGGACACUGACGCUGAGACGCGAAAGCGUGGGGAGCAAACAGG